rnacentral:rRNA from 1 species
AGCGAACGCUGGCGGCAUGCCUAACACAUGCAAGUCUGACGGGCAGGCUUUCGGGUCUGUCAGUGGCGGACGGGUGAGGAACGCGUAGGGACGUGUCCUGAGGUGGGGGAUAACCGCGGGAAACUGCGGCUAAGACCGCAUGGGGCCUGAGGGCCAAAGCCGAGAGGCGCCUUAGGGGCGGCCUGCGCCCGAUUAGCUUGUUGGUGGGGUAGUGGCCCACCAAGGCUGCGAUCGGUAGCUGGUCUGAGAGGAUGAUCAGCCACACUGGGACUGAGACACGGCCCAGACUCCUACGGGAGGCAGCAGUGGGGAGUAUUGGACAAUGGGCGAAAGCCUGAUCCAGCAAUGCCGCGUGGGUGAAGAAGGUCUUCGGAUUGUAAAGCCCUUUCGGCGGGGACGAUGAUGACGGUACCCGCAGAAGAAGCCCCGGCUAACUUCGUGCCAGCCGCCGCAGUAACAC